rnacentral:lncRNA from 1 species
GACUUCAAAAGCGUGCUGCUUCCCACUACUCCCUGGCAUCUGCUAGUGAAGUCAUUUCUAUUUUACGUGAUAUUAGCGGUCAGUAAUCUAUGAAGUUUUGGCAAAGAGCACUGUGACUUACAGGAGCUCUACUACUUGACUCAUUUGAAAAUCCGUAGAUUUGAAGACUUUAAUGGUCUUUUCUCCCCUCUGGGAUUCUGUGAGAUUCUGUAAAUUCUAAGCACACUGCCGCCAAUGGAUUCCUACCAUUGUUAUUUAACAUUUAUGGUAAGUCUGUGCUUUAACUUUACACAAAAAUGACAGUUUUCUAUUUGCACAGAAAUAUUUGCACAGGAGUUCCCAGGCUAGGGGUUGAAUCGGAGCUGUAGCCACCGGCCUACGCCAGAGCCACAGCAACGCGGGAUCCGAGCCAAGUCUGCAACCUACACCACAGCUCACGGCAACGCCGGAUCGUUAACCCACUGAGCAAGGGCAGGGACCGAACCUGCAUGGUUCCUAGUCGGAUUCGUUAACCACUGCGCCACGACGGGAACUCCUGACUUUUUCAUUUUACAAAAUGAAUAUAAGAACAUUCAUAUCUUGUAUAUCCUUUGUGGAAUAACUGACCAUCAAGGUCAGCUUAUCUUGAUCAUACUGCAUUCAGGGAGCCAAAAUUUAGGCCACGGAUAAAUUUCUUAAUGCUCAUUUUAUCUAAUUAACUCUUACAAUGGUAUUGGGUUAUCUUCCCCACUCACAGCUCCUGGGGCAAAUGGGACAGCAAGUAGCAUACAGAGAUGGCUCUGCAUUGCAUGGCUUCUUCUUUUUUUUUUUUUCUUUUUCUUUUAGGUCCACAUCUGUGGCAUAUGGAGUUCCUAAGCUAGGGGUCUAAUUGGAGCUACAGCUGCCGGCUUACACCACGUCCACAGCAACACAGGAUCCGAGCCGCCUCUGUGACCUACACCACAGCUCACGGCAACACCAGAUCCUUAACCCACUGAGCAAGGCCAGGAAUUGAACCUGCAUCCUCAUGGAUGGUAGUCACAUUUAGUUCCCCUGAGCCACAACGGGAACUCCAUUGGCUUCUUGCAUAAAGCUCUUUGCUCUCUGCCAGAGGAAAUGCUUUCCUGCAUCAGGGGCCACCCCUCCUUGACAAGCUAAGAGGAUUCUUAGCUUGCCACUUGUUGUUUUGCCUUUUAUCUGACUUUUCAUACCCUUGCGCCCCCCCCCCCACCGACUCCUGCUUUUCUCCUUAGUUCGCUAUAGAACACUUUUUUUUUUUUUUUUCCCAGCCACCUCCAUGGCAUAUGGAAAUUCCCCAGGCCAGGGAUCGAAUCUGAGCUGGAGCUGUGACCUACACUGCCGCUGCAGCAACACCAGAUCUUCUUAACCCACUUCAUGGGGCUGGGGAUCAAACCAGGACCUCCACAGAGAAGCAGGAUCAUUAACCCACUGCACCACUGCAGGAACUCCUAGAACACUUUUUAAGAAUCAGGAAUUCUCCCUCUCUGGAUGGAUGUGUCAGCUGGAGUCCUCCAGGAAGCAGACUCCAAGACAAAGUGCAAUAAAUCUGUUAGGAAUAACAUCUGUGGAAGAUAAAGGAGAGAAGGACCAGGAGUAUUAAGUGAUUGAGGGUCAGACCUUUUACAGUCUUCCUCUCUCCUCUGAGUCAUUGUUCCUUCCAAAUUAAAAUUCCGAUAAUAUCUAGAUUUAAAUAUACUCAUCACAAGAUCCAGCAUUUAAAAACACAUAUAUUCAUUAUGUUUAAGUGCUCCUUUUCCAAGGGGAUUAUUAGUCUGGGUCCUCAAAUAACCCAAGAUGGGAUUAAUCACGCAAGGGUUUUAUUAGGGGAAAUUCCUGUGUAAAAGAAAACAGGCAGGAAACUAAAACAGGCUGAGAGAGCUGUCAGACUGCUAUGUAAGUCUGACCCUAAGUGAAGAAUAGAGGUAGAAAAGUUUGGAUGUGAGCACCCUAGGCUUCCUUGCAGUCAGAGGGAGUUUUGGCAAAUCCAUCAGAGAAUUCCCAAGCAAAGUCCAUGAUCGGGUGAGUCUGCCUUAGUAUCCUGCCAUACUCAGUAAUUGAUGUACAGCCUUGGGAGCCCAUGGGAGGCAUGGCCUCAGUACAGAUGUAGUGAUUGAUUUCACAGUUCAGCAGCUGGAGCUGUGGUCAAUUACCCUUGCUGUAGUUGCAGAUCUGCAAGUCACAUUCUCAUGGCCACCACAGGGAGUAAUCAUAAAACUAUUACGUAAUGCAUACAUAGGCCGCCAUCUGCUUUACUUUUUUUUUUUUUUAAUCAUCAUCUGAGAUGAGAUGAGAUAGCUUUAUGACAAUCAUUUUAUUUAAUUCCAAUAAAAACUCUGCGUUAGGGACUAUCGUUAUUCUUGUUUUUAUCAAUGAGGAAAAUUUGGAUCAGACAGGUUGAAUAACUUGUCCAAGAUCACACAGUUUGCAGGUGUCCUGCCUGGAAUUGAAUUCGAAUAGAUCUAAAGUCAAUGUGACAGGUAUUGUGUUUGGGCCUGAGUGAAUGCAUGAGAGAAAGUCCAACCCUCAGGGAGUUGACAGUACCUGUUUUCCUCCCCGUAACCCUGUUCUUCCUCUGCUCCCAGCCUUAAUAGCUGUCAUUUACUGAUGGCUUCUCUGUGCCACUGUGUCACUAUGCUAAGUGCCUUAUAGACAUUAGCUCACCUAGUCCUCAAACCCCCAUCCCUGCUGAAUGGGUAUUAUUAGCCCUGUUUUACAUAUGAAGAAACAAGAUUUAAAAAUAUCACUGCUAUGAAGUAUAGCUAAUUUUUAUUGGGCUCUACGUAUAAACUAUAACUAUUGGCUGCAUUUGCGGCAUGUGAAAUUUCCCCGUCCAGGGAUCAAACCCGCGUCACAGCAGCAAUCCGAGCCGCUGCAGUGACACUAAAUCCUUAACCAGCUGCACCACAAGAGAACUCCCAAAGCAUAGCUGAUAUUUAUUGAGCUCUUACAAUAACUUUAUGAAGUAGCUGCUCUUAUUAUUUCCAUUAAACUGAAUUGAAGCACAAUUGGUUGAACAGCCUUCCCAAGGAAAGGCAGCUAAGUAAGUGAUGGAGUCAAACCCAGGUAUUGUGGUUUCAGAGCUUGCUUAACCACUGUGCCAAAAUGCCCAAUGCCAGGAAAGUUGGAUUUGCAUCCCUAGUCUGUCUGACUCCAAGUUAUUCUCUGUCCAGGCCAUAUAUUGCUCCUCUGCUCAACUGAUCCCCAUUCCUUUAUUCUUUUUUGGAGGCAGGGGAAACUAUCCACUUUCUCAACAAACACUCACUGAAUACCUACUAUAUAUGCUAUAUAUUAGGAAAACAGGAUAUCCAACCAAAGAAGGAUUAUGCAGCCAUAAAAAAAGAAAAGAUCUUAAUAUACUUAUAUGUCAUAAUCUCUGGUGGGAUGUAUUGUUUUUGUUUGUUUGCUUGUUUUUGCUUUUUAGGGCCGUACCCGGGGCAUAUGUAGGUUCCCAGGCUAGGGGUCAAAUCAGAACUACAGCUGCCAGCCUAUGCCACAGCCACAACAAUGUGGGAUCCAAGCUGUGUCUGCAACCUACACCACAGCUCACAGCAACACCAGAUCAUUAACCCCGCUGAGUGAGGCCAGGGAUCAAACCCACAACCUCAUGGUUCCUAGUUGGAUUCAUUUCCACUGCUCCAUGACAGGAAUUCCUGUUUGUUUGGGUUUUUUCUGCCAUACUCAAAGCAUGCAGAAGUUCCUGGGCCUGAGAUGGAGCCUGAGCCACAGUAGUUACAUGGUCAGAUCUUUAACUGCUAGGUCACCAGGGAACUCUCAUGGGAUUAUAUUAAGUGAAAAAGCAAGGUGCAGAAGAAUACGGUCGACCCUCCCUACUGGCAGAUGUGUAAGGAAGAAAGGACCUUUGUCAUUGCUAUGAUUUGAGUCACUGCUGUGGCAUGGCUUUGAUCCUGGCUCUGGAACUUCUGCAUGCCACAGGUGUGGCCAAAAAAAAAAAAAAAAAAAAAAAAAAAAAAAA